rnacentral:rRNA from 1 species
AUUGAACGCUGGCGGCAGGCCUAACACAUGCAAGUCGAGCGGAGCGUCGGACGGGUGCGUAAUGCCUAGGAAUCUGCCUGGUAGUGGGGGAUAACGUCCGGCAACGGGCGCUAAUACCGCAUACUAUCAGAUGAGCCUAGUUCGGAUUCGCUAGUUGGUGGGGUAAAGGCCUACCAGGGCGACGAUCCGUAACUGGUCUGAGAGGAUGCUCAGCCACACUGGGACUGAGACACGGCCCAGACUCCUACGGGAGGCAGCAGUGGGGAAUAUUGGACAAAGGGCGCAAGCCUGAUGCAGCCAUGCGGCGUGUAUGAAGAAGGCCUUAGGGUUGUAAAGUACGUUCAGCGGGGAGGCGUUACCCGCAGAAGAAGCACCGGCUAACUCCGUGCCAGCAGCCGCGGUAAUAC